UCAGUAGGGAACUGACCCUCUAUUUCCACCUGCAUAAAUGAAGCUGAAUGAGGUGGUAGGAUGUAGAGCUAGUUGACACUCUGCUUU
rfam:Pan troglodytes isolate Yerkes chimp pedigree #C0471 (Clint) chromosome X, whole genome shotgun sequence.